rnacentral:rRNA from 1 species
AAUCAACGCUGGCGGCGUGCCUAACACAUGCAAGUCGAACGAGAAAGCGGGGGCAACUCCGCGAGUAAAGUGGCGACCGGGUGAGUAACACGUGACUAACCUACCCUCGAGUGGGGAAUAACCCUGGGAAACCGGGGCUAAUACCGCAUAAACUCCGCGGGUGCAAAUCCUGCGGAGCAAGAGCGCAAGUUGCUUGAGGAGGGGGUCGCGGCCGAUUAGCUAGUUGGUGGGGUAACGGCCCACCAAGGCGAUGAUCGGUAGCCGGCCUGAGAGGGCGCACGGCCACACUGGAACUGAAACACGGUCCAGACUCCUACGGGAGGCAGCAGUGGGGAAUUUUGCGCAAUGGGGGAAACCCUGACGCAGCAACGCCGCGUGGAGGAUGAAGUCCCUUGGGACGUAAACUCCUUUCGAUCGGGACGAAUGAUGACGGUACCGGAAGAAGAAGCCCCGGCUAACUCCGCGCCAGCAGCCGCCGUAAGAC